GACGAACGCUGGCGGCGUGCUUAACACAUGCAAGUCGAACGAAGUGGCGAACGGGUGAGUAACGCGUAAUCAACCUGCCCUUCAGAGGGGGAUAACAGUUGGAAACGACUGCUAAUACCGCAUACUGAGGGAGGGGAUUGCGGUUGAUUAGCUAGUUGGAGGGGUAACGGCCCCCCAAGGCGAUGAUCAGUAGCCGGUCGGAGAGGAUGAACGGCCACAUGGGGACUGAGACACGGCCCAGACUCCUACGGGAGGCAGCAGUGGGGAAUCUUCCGCAAUGGACGAAAGUCUGACGGAGCAACGCCGCGUGAGUGAUGACGGCCUUCGGGUUGUAAAGCUCUGUUGUUAGAGAAGCGGUAUCUAACCAGAAAGCCACGGCUAACUACGUGCCAGCCGCCGCGGUAAUAC
rnacentral:rRNA from 1 species